ensembl:lncRNA
CACAGCGCUGCGCUGCGGGCUGACUCACUGGGGGAACUUUGGACAUCAACUCCUGCGCUUUGCUUUGCUUUGCUUUGCUUCGCUUCUCUUUUCCUUUCAACUUUUUCUUUCUUUCUUUCUUUCUGCCCGGAUUUUGUGAUUAGGAGCUAAAUAAGCAGAGAGAAAGCCCAAAAUAAAAUAAAAUACCGAAAAAAAAAACCCCAAACCAAACCGAACAGACCUCUAUACCCCGCCGGAGGGCAGACGGUAAAAACAACGCGUUUUCGCCGAGCGGAGCUGCGCGCAUUUCUCUUUUAUUUUUUGGAGCGAAGAGAGAAAAAAAAAAAAAAGAGAGAGAGAGAGAGAGAGAAAAAAAAGCCUCUACAGUCGCCAGGGUUACAAGGCAACUCUUCCCCCUCUCUGCAGACCUUUGAGAGGGGAAUGAGCUCUUCUGCACAUCCAGACGUCUGCUGUUGUUUGUCCGGUCUCUUCCCACUGGGGGGCACAGGACUCCAUUCUCCAGCAGAUCUGUUCCAGGCAUCUCUUUAUGUCAAGGCAAAGGUAAUUUGGACAUCUAAGUUUUGUUUUGUUUUUCUUUCAGAUUGUAUCCAUGAAUGUGUGUAUAAUGAACCCAGAAGGAAUGCAGCACUAAAAGAAGCCUUUGUAAUGUUGCUAUUUUAAGGAGACCCUUGGGUAUGGCACGUGUUGAACUGAGUUUCUCCAACAUCUUACAACAAACCAAAAUGUUUAGAUCCUCCUACUGAUGUAAGACAGCAUAAAAAAAAUACAUAAUCAAUCUAAACUGGCUAAGGUUUUGACCAGGAAUUAUUGCUCCUGUGAAUUGGCUCUGUAUUGUAGCUAACUUUUACACGGCCUAAUAAUAAACAUCUCCUCCUCCCAGCUGGGUGAAUGUUUCCCCUCUGCUGGAGAUCAGGUCCCAGCCUGGAUAAAACACCUCUUGUCCUUUCUCUCCUCGGUCACUCAGGUUCAGUGAAACAUCAUGACUUACAUCAGCCAAAGCCUUUGAUCAGGGAGGGAAAGGUCUGACAUGGAUGGGGUUGGCAGCCACGCUGCAAGAAUCCCUCAUUGUGCAAGAAGCCAGUCCAAUGACCGACUGUCACCAAGGGUGAGACAGCCUUUUCUGCUCUGUUUGCUCUGUUUUCACUUGGCUAUUGCUGGCGUUUUGUUUGCAAAAUCAAGGCCAAAAUAUACAAGAAGCAGCUUCGAACAUGUUGGGUUUGUGCAUUAAGCCAGAUAGCCAUCAUUAAUUUCUGGCCAUUUUUGUUGUAUGUGUUGUAAAGAGCAGAAUUUUGCUGUCAGCAUUUUGUUUUCACAUGGUCAGAGAGGAGAAGGAGUAUAAUAGAGGUCCAAUUGACACUGUUUACACAAAGAUGAAGUCGUAACUCUUGGCUGAGAUGACUGUGGAAGUGGUGUGUGAUGGCUUCUUUGUUGGCUCUUUAAGAAAACAUCUGCUCUGGAACUCGUGGACAAAAUCUAGGGUGAAAAAUUCUCUCAUUGCAAAAUGAGAAGCCGGAUGAAAAGCCCAGAGAAGCUGUGGGUGCUCCAUCUCUGGAGGUGCUCAAGGCCAGGUUGGAUGGGGCCCUGGGCUGCCUGAUCUGGAAGGUGGUAAUCCUGCCCAUGGCCCCGGGUUGGGACUGGAUGACCUUUGAGGAUGUUUCCAGCCUAGGCCGUUCUAUGAUUCUAUGAGUUUCUCCAAUAGCAUCCAGCACUCAAGGAACAGGGCUGCUUUGGAAAUGUAUGUCAGAAUAAGAAAAAUACAUUUUUUGUACUCACACAUUGAACAGCGAAUGAAUGCUCAAGAAGAAUGAGGGUGAGAAUUGAAUCCAUUAAAACACUUUCUGGGACAAUAUUUUUGCUUUCAGCAGCUUUCUCUUCUGCUUUGCUUCAAUUCCUUCUAAACGCUGCUCCCCUUCCUCCAGGUGGUAUGAAAUAAAAA